UACGUAGGUGGCAAGCGUUGUCCGGAAUUAUUGGGCGUAAAGCGCGCGCAGGCGGCCUCUUAAGUCUGAUGUGAAAGCCCCCGGCUCAACCGGGGAGGGCCAUUGGAAACUGGCAGGCUAGAGUCUUGUAGAGGGGGGUAGAAUUCCAGGUGUAGCGGUGAAAUGCGUAGAGAUGUGGAGGAACACCAGUGGCGAAGGCGACUCUUUGGCCUAUAACUGACGCUGAGGCGCGAAAGCGUGGGGAGCAAACAGG
rnacentral:misc_RNA from 1 species